rnacentral:rRNA from 1 species
CCUACGGGUGGCUGCAGUGGGGAAUAUUGGACAAUGGGGGCAACCCUGAUCCAGCCAUGCCGCGUGUGUGAAGAAGGCCCUCGGGUUGUAAAGCACUUUCAGUGAGGAAGAACGCCUGGUGGUUAAUACCCAUCAGGAAAGACAUCACUCACAGAAGAAGCACCGGCUAACUCCGUGCCAGCAGCCGCGGUAAUACGGAGGGUGCGAGCGUUAAUCGGAAUUACUGGGCGUAAAGCGCGCGUAGGUGGCUUGAUAAGCCGGUUGUGAAAGCCCCGGGCUCAACCUGGGAACGGCAUCCGGAACUGUCAAGCUAGAGUGCAGGAGAGGAAGGUAGAAUUCGCGGUGUAGCGGUGAGAUGCGUAGAGAUCGGGAGGAAUACCAGUGGCGAAGGCGGCCUUCUGGACUGACACUGACACUGAGGUGCGAAAGCGUGGGUAGCAAACAGGAUUAGAUACCCGAGUAGUC